GGGGUGUGGUGUUUGAGUUGUGGAUAGUGGUUGCGAGCAUCUAGCACGCAAGAAGGCUCUGAUUGGGGCGCUGGUCUUUGGGCUGGUGUUGUUGGUUGGGGUGUUGUUGUGUGUGUUUGAUGUGCAAUUUCUUUUUUUCUUUUUCUGGUUUUU
rnacentral:misc_RNA from 1 species